GCCAGGUGUGGUGGCUCACGCCUGUAAUCCCAGCACUUUGGGAGGCUGAGGUGGGUGGAUCACUUGAGACCAGAAGUUCAAGACCAGUCUGGUCAACAUGGUGAAACCCCAUCUCUA
rnacentral:sRNA from 1 species